rnacentral:rRNA from 1 species
UACAGAGGGGGCAAGCGUUAUCCGGAUUUACUGGGCGUAAAGGGUGUGUAGGCGGUCGGGCAGGUGGGGUAUUCCAGCGUGCGGCUUAACUGCACGAGUGCGCUCCAAACCGCUUGACUCGAGGGGUGCAGAGGUUGGUGGAAUUGCCAGUGUAGCAGUGAAAUGCGUAGAGAUUGGCAGGAACACCAAGGGCGAAAGCAGCCAACCAGGCACCACCUGACGCUGAGGCACGAGAGCGUGGGGAGCAAACAGG